GUAGCCUUGGGUUCAUAUUAACAUCCGUCUGAGCCUGGAGGGUGUGGGUGUGUCUUCGUAACCCUCCCGCAAACUUCCAUCUUCUUCUUCUUCUUCACGUUCAUCUUCGUCUUCUUCUUCUUCUUCUUCUUCUUCUGGUGGAACUACAGCGUACGUCAGAGAGCCCCUUUUCUUCACCACCGCACCUUACAUCGCGGAAUACGCGUCGCCAUGGGGCAGAAGAGGGAGAAAAUUUUUCUUUCACCAGCCGCUCGCUGACCUGAAACUGAAACAAAUUAACAAACCUACGAUUAUCUUUAUUUCCGAGUCCUGUGGGGCUCGAUGACAAUGGCGAACGGACACAAAAGAAAAACCUGUUCCACUUUCAGGGGCCCCCUCGACUCGCCUCCUCACUCCCACGAAAAAACGAAAAUAGAGAAAGGGAAGAGAGGAAAAGAAAACUAACGCGUUGAUAAAGUGACUUGGAAAAUUUCAAGAAAAAGACGAAUGGCAGACCCAUGAGAUAGCCACCUUCCAUACCUCUGACUCAGGUCGACACAAAAAUGAACGGCAACUCCCUGCG
rnacentral:misc_RNA from 1 species